AAGGGCCAAGAAAAUAGCAAACUGGGAAGAAUGGAAUAAGCGUUUAGAAGAAGUGAAGCGGCAAGAACAAGAACUUCUGGAAACCCAAUCAAUUCCACUGAGAAACUACUUAAUGAAGCAUGUGAUGCCAACACUUAUGCAAGGCUUGAAUCAAUGUUGCAUGGUUAGGCCAGAUGACCCGGUUGACUUUCUGGCAGAAUAUCUCUUCAAGAAUAAUCCGGAAUUUGAGUAAGAAGUCUAAACAGUUGCCCUGUUAUGUCUUGUUAAAUUUAAUGUUAAUGAUUGUUGUGUAAUACUGUUGUAAAAUAUACAUUCACUAAUUUACUUUUUUUUAAAAAAUAGAAAUCUAAAGUUUGAAGAUAUGUACAUUUAUCUAAAAUGAAUGAAAAUUUAUAGAAUAUCUCGUAAAUUGCAGAAUAUUCCUUGAACACAUUUAAAGAAAAAGUUUCAAAAUUAUUGUUCUUAGAAAAGUAACUAUGGUUAUCAAGUUUAUGACAACAUGUACUUAAGCUAUGUAAUAAAGGAAAAGAAGAAUA